GUGUAGUAGAGACACCCCCUCCCCCAAUCAAGUACACACAUUUAAUCAAUAACAGUAGAGGAAUCCCUCUCUCCCCAAAAAAUAACAAUUAAAAAUCAGGUACACAUCAAAUGGAAGACUUGCUGCUGUUUUCAGCUUGUGCUCUAUGAUCCUGCUUUGUGAUCACUGGUUUAUAUGUUGCAAAUGCUGGAUAUAAAGGAACCUUCAUGCCACCUUCAACCCCUGCUGCAGUAUGACUUUCCAAUUAUUUCCCAGCGUGCCCUCCAAAGGGUGUGCUUUGUAACAAAGGAAAGUGCCUCUGUAACAUCUCCAAGGGUUCUUGACCUUCCUGCUUUCCCUUUUCUCUGAGUCACUGGUGGUGGUGGGGGUGGUGGUGGAAGAGAAGAGGGAAGGAGAGCAAGGAGAAAGUGUAAACAUUGGCACGCAAGGCAAGGCGGAAUUACAUACUGGUCGACCAAAACACAAAUCAACUCAAAACUACAGGAGUCCACCAACAUGCACAUAAAUCAUUUAUAAUGAUAAUCCAAGACGAGGUCCAAAUCUCAUUAAAGUAUAUGAAUCCUUAAUCUAUUUUGGCAAAAGAGAGCCAAUACACAUUUUUUCUUUUUAUCAUAAAUUACAGUUCUGUGGCACUGUGCAAAUAUUACCAAGCUGUAAGACAGCUGUGCUCCAUUAAAAUGUGUAAUGGUCGCUGAUUUCUUACAGCACAUGGUCAUCAGGCUGAAUCUACAGCCAGUAAUUAGGAAGAUGAAAUGUUUAAUUGUGCCUUAAUUUUGAUAAAAUUUAUCUGUCACACAUCCCGUAGUUGAGCAUUAUGCUCACAAAUCAAUGUCAUCAGGCCUGAGCACCAGACUCUUGUUCCUGACAGAUUCAUUUGAAUAUCAAACCGUACACAGCCGACAACCAGGGGAAAGGGACAUGGAAAAAAAAUUAAAAAGAAAGAAAUCUUCCCCCUGACACAGCCCGGCUUGGGUGACAUAUGCCUCGCCACCUCUUUUAAAAGCUAGAGAGGUCAAAAGCAAAAGGCUGCUAACACUCCUGUCAAGAGUGGCAGAGAGUGUUUCCUUUGAGCCACAAACAGGGUGUGUGCGUGGCAGUUUUCGCCCCCUCCCUCUUUUGAAACUUCACACUAUUUGUUGAACCUCCAGGGUUAUUUCCCACCCACCUCACCCCAAUUUGCUGCGUUUGUUGUUCGGCUGCAAACGCAACCAAGGCAAAGCUGGGGUCCGUUGUGUGUGCCAGAAGUGAUCAUUUACUUCCCUGCUGGCAACUGCAGCAGCAAGCAUUACAGCAGUCACUCAUGUGCAGAUUAUUACCGCACAUAGAGAGCCCAAGUCACUUUAUUUAAAAUGUGGGGGGUUUACAUGGAAGCCUCGCUUCAAUAUGGCAGAGGGCAGUUUCAAGCAUGCCGGCUGCUAUUUCAAAGCUAUCUGCUUUAUUUUUAACAAUGCAGCUCGAGCCACUUAGAUUUACACGGCACAGGGGCCCCUCUGCAGCAUGAUAUACAUCUCUGACCCUGACACCGCACACUUUGGUCAUCCUGCUAAUUCCAAUAACAACCAAGAACCAAGUCAUUUUCUUCUUGUUAUAGCUACACAAAUAUCUACAUUCCCCCCACUACCUGGAGUACAGCCACUGCUUCUUUGUCAUGUAUCAGAUAUGGGACAUUUGAAAGGAAUACUUAUGCUUUGCUUUGAAUAAUGAAGAGAUAUGGGGGGCGAGCUAGGCUUGUGUCUUUUUCACAGCCUACUGCCCAUCUCCUCCCCCAUUCUUUCCCCUCUCUGCUUUAUCCUCCUUGAGAGUGUUGGGAAAUGUAGUCCGCAUCAAAUUAAGCUGCUGUUGUGCAAUUUGAGGUGAAAGCUGCAAAGAGGAAACUACUAAUUAAAGGCACAGUAGCACAGAAAUGCUUCAGUGACCUUGCUAUUCUACAAUGAUUGGUUUGUGUGGAGAAAUCAUCAUUUUGAGAUUAUUGAUGAUGUACGGUUUCUGAAAUUCAAUUUUGUUUGCUGUUUAAUGAGAAACUGCCUAAUUCAUAUUUCUCAAACAAUGUGUGAACUGAAACAUAGCUAUCAUUUGAAAUUCGCCCUUCUCUGCAUUUUGUGAUGCAGUUCUCCAACCAACCACUUCAUAUAUUUGGAAGUGUGCAAAGAAAUGCCUAUGUUACUGAAAGUAGCAUACAAAAAUGCAUUACAUUAGGGAAAACUAAUUAUAGAAAUGUGUGUAUUAGUCAAAGUUGCAUACAAAAAAUUAUUAGGAGAAAUUUGCACUAAAAUGCUAAUGAAUAUUCAUUUUUUAUAAAAAGGACUGAAUUGCUGCAAAAAAUCAGAGAACUGAAUUUAAGAUUGAAGAAAGAGAAACUGGAAGAACCAAAGUUGACAGAUCUGUCCAUUCUUGCAAACAAUAUAAAGGUUUGAAGCAUUAACUGUGUAAGAACUGCCUGUAUUUUAUGCAGAGAACUGUACUAUGUCUCAAUGUAGCUUCAAAGUGAGAGUUCCAGCUGAUUGACAGCUUUUGUUGUUUCUUUUUCUAUUCCUGGGUAUGAUUUUGCAUUAUUGUUAUAAUUUUCAUCAGUUUCAAUGUAAACUACCUUGAGCAUAUAUAUAAAUGGAAAGAUAAUAUGUAAAUAAAAUUUACACUGAGACAAGAAGAUUGCUCAAUAGCAAUAUAAUGGUGGUGAUUAGAUCUAAUUUGGAAAGAAAUUAAAGCCCAACAUAUAUUCUUCUGCAAGAGUAAUCAGUCAAUCUAGUAUCACGUUUUACCAUGAAGUUUUUAUUGUAGGAUGUUGAUUUCUAGGUCAGACACACUUAUUCAACCUUGAAACCACUGACAUCUGCCACUUCUAGCACAAUAUGCCACAAAGUUAUGUUACUCUCCACUAGUGAUGUUACAGGCUGUUAUUUAAAACAGAGGCAAAGCCUCAAAGUUGUGCUAGGAAAAAGUUUAGUAAGGUGUUGACCAUCUACUCCAAGCGCAAGCAAAUUUUCAUGCAAUCUUAUUCCACUGGCUUCUUUCAGCAAUUAGAGCUAUAUCAAGUUCUAUGUGACCCACUGCAACAAGAGAGCAGAAUGAAAUCAAAUCAGAUCUGUUAUAUUCAACAUUUUAAGAAACCUUAAUUUCCUGGCACCAGUUUGAGGGUUUUGCCUCUACUGCAGUGGGGUGGGGAGAGUUAGCAUUAAAAAUAAAAAAAUGAUGGUACACCUUCAUUCCCUCUACAUGCUCUGUUUGACCACAUUCCACAUAGUACUUGAAAUAAAUUCAGUCGGUGAGGACGGAUCACAUAUUCCCAGCAACAAAAUACUGCAGUUGAUGACUGCUUGAGAAAUGUGUUGUAGCUAUAAUAUCAGAGCUACCUUGAAGGAAGAUGGCUGGAUCCAGCUCAGCAAUUGAGUGACAACAGUGCAUUGACUGUAUGUGUAGUCUAAGGUGUUGUUUUUGACCUCUAAAGCCCUUCAUGGCACAGAGUCUCCUGAAUUGAAGCCGUUUCUUUAUGGCAUAUGGCCGUUUUUAAAAACUCCAGAAGGCAUUCAAGGUGUUGCCAAGGCAAUCUUGGAGAGGAAGCAACUUCUUUCAGCUUCCCUUUCCUCCUCAAAUGUGGCAUAAACACACCGCUUAUUAUUUACAAUAAUAAUCAUCUGCUACUUCUUCGGCCCAUCCUUCCUUCAAGGUGCUCAGAGCAGUGCUGUAGCCUCACAGCAACUUGGUGAAACUGAGAGAAUGACCUGCAGAUUUCGCCAUCUUGUAAGCUUCAUAGCUGAGCACAAACUUAAACCUAGGCUUUCCCCUUCUCUGGAUGAAUCCAUUCUCAGAUUUGUCCCAAAAUUUCGCAGCUCCAAAUUGUUGCUGAAGCAUUGAGAAUUCUCCACUGUGCUAUUUCUUUUUAAAUAUCUGAGGUUGUUGUUUUUUUUAAAUCCCUAUGUAUGUAAUUUCUCCUUCAUUAUCAGUUCGUUUGUGUCUUGUUCUACACAAGCUGAUAAAACACUCUUCAUUUUUUAAAAAAUAAUAUUUAUUUAUUAUUUUUCCAAAAACUUAAACACUAAAAAGACAAUACAAUACAACACAUCAAAUU
rnacentral:lncRNA from 1 species